AAAACGACUCUCGGCAACGGAUAUCUCGGCUCUCGCAUCGAUGAAGAACGUAGCGAAAUGCGAUACUUGGUGUGAAUUGCAGAAUCCCGCGAACCAUCAAGUCUUUGAACGCAAGUUGCGCCCGAAGCCAUUAGGCCGAGGGCACGUCUGCCUGGGCGUCAC
rnacentral:rRNA from 1 species